AGAGUUUGAUCAUGGCUCAGGAUAAACGCUGGCGGCGUGCCUAAUGCAUGCAAGUCGCACGGGGUGUGCCUUCGGGCGCAUCGAGUGGCGAACGGGUGAGGAACACGUGGCCGACCUACCCCGGCGUGGGGGAUACCCGCCAGAAAUGGCGGCUAAUACCGCGUACGGUCGCACCCUGGUGGAGGGUGCGAAGAAAGCCGUAAGGCGCGCUGGGAGGGGGCUGCGACCGAUUAGCUAGUUGGCGGGGGUAACGGCCCACCAAGGCGAUGAUCGGUAGCGGGUCUGAGAGGAUGAUCCGCCACACGGGGACUGAGACACGGCCCCGACUCCUACGGGAGGCAGCAGCAAGGGAUUUUCCGCAAUGGGGGCAACCCUGACGGAGCAACGCCGCGUGCGGGACGACGCCUCUUGGGGUGUAAACCGCUUUUGCCGAGGACGAGAACGGACGGUACUCGGCGAAUCAGGACCGGCUAACUACGUGCCAGCAGCCGCGGUAAUACGUAGGGUCCGAGCGUUGUCCGGAGUGACUGGGCGUAAAGCGCGCGCAGGCGGCCGUGUAGGCACGACGUGAAAGCCCCGGGCUCAACCCGGGAGGGUCGUCGUGAACCGCAGGGCUUGAGGCCGGUAGAGGUGGGUGGAACUCCUGGUGGAGUGGUGAAAUGCGUAGAGAUCAGGAAGAACACCCGUGGCGAAGGCGGCCCACUGGGCCGGAACUGACGCUGAGGCGCGAAGGCGUGGGGAGCGAACGGGAUUAGAUACCCUAGUAGUCC
rnacentral:rRNA from 1 species